GUUCUUGUAGUUGAAUUACAACAAUGGUUUUUCAAGCCGUAAGUCUCAGGUUAAAGUCCUGGUGAGAAUA
rnacentral:tRNA from 1 species